CGCGGCCUAUCAGCUUGUUGGUGAGGUUAUGGCUUACCAAGGCGACGACGGGUAGCCGGCCUGAGAGGGUGUCCGGCCACACUGGGACUGAGACACGGCCCAGACUCCUACGGGAGGCAGCAGUGGGGAAUAUUGCACAAUGGGCGCAAGCCUGAUGCAGCGACGCCGCGUGGGGGAUGACGGCCUUCGGGUUGUAAACCUCUUUCAGUACAGACGAAGCGUAAGUGACGGUAUGUACAGAAGAAGCACCGGCCAACUACGUGCCAGCAGCCGCGGUAAUACGUAGGGUGCGAGCGUUGUCCGGAAUUACUGGGCGUAAAGAGCUCGUAGGUGGUUUGUCGCGUUGUUCGUGAAAACCUGAGGCUUAACCCUGGGCGUGCGGGCGAUACGGGCAGACUGGAGUACUGCAGGGGAGACUGGAAUUCCUGGUGUAGCGGUGGAAUGCGCAGAUAUCAGGAGGAACACCGGUGGCGAAGGCGGGUCUCUGGGCAGUAACUGACGCUGAGGAGCGAAAGCGUGGGGAGCGAACAGGAUUAGAUACCCUGGUAGUCCACGCCGUAAACGGUGGGUACUAGGUGUGGGUUUCCUUCCUUGGGAUCCGUGCCGUAGCUAACGCAUUAAGUACCCCGCCUGGGGAGUACGG
rnacentral:rRNA from 1 species